GACGUCAUCCCAGCUGCCAAUCAAAGUGAUCUUCAAGCCAGGCCCUGCCCACCGCCAAAAUGCGCUCGGCGUGUUCGACUGACAACUGAUUGCAAGAAGAAGAAGAAGAAGAAGAAGAAGAAAACGACGACGACGAAGAAGAAGUCGAAGAAGAGCAAACCUGCCGGCCGGCGGACUGACUGACCGACCGACUGACAGACUGACUCCCACUGCGUUGCUUCGGAAUGUUCUUGGAAAGCAGCGGACGAGCACUUGAAGGUGCACGCUGAGAGGACCGCGGCCGUGUUCCAAAAGUGCAGCUCUGCUCUCUCCUGACGUCACUGGAGCAAAAGAAUUUGAGCAAUGCCGAGCAGCUGGUGGCCUCGCGGACGGUGCAGGACAACCGCACGAUCUGCAGCAAAAACGAGCAGCCUUUCCCUCCUCUCCCACAAGAGAAAAGCCUUGCUGGGUCCAAACCACUGGAGAGAAAAGGAACCCGGGACGUGAUAUCAUUCACUGCCGUACAGUUUCAAAGUCAACUGAUUUAGAGCAUUUUGACUCGACGACUAUUGUCUUCUGUGUUGAUAGAGGCAUCAAACCUACCAAGAGAGUCGAAUCUGUUCUUUCACCAGAAAUGAAAACUUUUGUUUCAAGCCAACAUCAAGCAACUAGUGAUCAAGCGAUGUGUUUUUUUUUUCUUAUUUGGCUUUUGUGACACUCCAAACUACAAAAAAAUCAAAAAUGUGACCGAGGAAUAGCUUAUGAUGUCCUAAUAAUAAUAUAACAGUAUUUACAAGAGAGACACAACAACUGUUUUUUUUUCCCCCCCCCAUCGAUACGGAUGACUGAUAACUAUAAUGAU